GAAAGAAUCCAUGUACAGCAUAAAGAAUUUGGAUGAUAAAUAAGAGUUCUUAUUUAUUGUUUCAUUGUUAUAAGGAAUCGAUGCGCGUACACGUGGUGGGUCAUUAUGCUGCUGCACCUGUGUAGCGUGAAGGUCAGUGUGCUUUUCUGAUUAUAAGAAACCAUCCAUGUCAUUCCAUUAUAAACCCACCCC
rnacentral:lncRNA from 1 species